GGUAACUUCUUGCCGGCCCAGCCUCCAGUGAUUCGUCGGUUGUACUUUCUCCACGGCGAUUUUCUGCCUCUAAAACCCUAAAGCUAAAAUUCUAGUUGGCCUAGGAAGAUCUUUGUUUCUUCUUCAACGAAAGAAGAAUUUGAUGGAAAUCUGGACAGUCUCCGAGUAGAGAUUAUUCUGAAAAUUCUCAAGGGUUUCGACAUUGAUUCAGUUACUCAAUACAGAUUAGUAUCAUGAACCUGGAAUUAUCCUGUUUAUCAUCGUCUUCUCGAUUAUCAAUCCGGAAAGCUCCUACAUCUUCAAAGGAUAACAGAUGCUGAUCUAAAACGUUAUUUGAAUCUGCUAAACAGGAAGGAGACUGUUGGUAAUAAAGUUGGAAUGUUGAAACGGAUACGCCAAAGGAGGCAAUACAUACUCCAGGAGCUACGGGAACGCUUGCGAUUUCCUUAUUAACAUUAGGGAUUCCAGUUGUUCGUCGGCCACUGUUCAUAAAGGGAUCAAUGGAGGCAUCUGUUCAAGCUACAAAGGCCAAUCAUGUGCAAGUUCAUGGAGAACUGCCUGAUCACUAUGGCAGGAUUUCUUGAAGACCACUUAGACCAAUUUUUCAGGGCAUCAAGAGCUUGAUCUGGAAAAGGUGAGCUAAACGAGGGGAGGUAAGCCACACAUCAGUUAUGUGGUGAAUAGCCGCAAAAGCAGCAAAAGAAUGUGCAGCUCAGAUGGCUUUCUUUUUGGCUUGAACAAACUCAAAUGUCUUUGGAAGUAUGGAGCAAAUCUCCGAUCCUGUUAAUCUGAUUUUUCAGUCGCCAAGGGAAGUCAGGGCUGUUGUUCUUCAGAAUAAUUAUUACUGCCAGAGCAUCACCUUCCACAAUGAUAUUAGGAAUACAGAGAGUUAAAGCAAUAGCUUCACAGGCGAAGCCAUUUGGUUCCCUGCAUACUAUAGCAUCUUCUUUAUAACAUAAAUAUGUGCCAUUUUGUGCCUUGAGCAUGUAUUUGAAAAUGAACUUGUUUGGUGUUUACUAGCAUAGUAGUUUUUUUAAAACCAGCAUCCAGCAUGGCCAGUAGUUCUGCCUGCUUAGUCGAACAACUAUCAUCAUUGCCCCAGUGAGCCUUUGCACUCUGCAGUUCCCUGUUGCACUUGCGUCACACAAAGUAAACAUCCCACGCCUGCUUUCAGUUGGGGACUAUGACUUA